UCUGCACUAGAAUUAAUUCAAGAGGAAAGACGAAUGGUCUGGUGGUGAGGAGGUUGUUUAACAGUUUAAGCUCCCGACCACUCGAGUUAUUGGAUAUUGGGGAUGAUUGGCAUGCUACUAUGGCAGUCCAUCCCCUCUAAUAUUGAUAACCAAUGGGUGUUUCAAGUGGAUCUGACGCCACAAUGUAGAGUUUAUAGAGAAAACAAAAUACAAGUGAACUAGAUCAGGCAUGAUCAAGUAAAACACAGAGACAUUAAGUUACAAAAAGAUUACCACAGCAAGAAGCUCAUCUACUACAGUUAUAUUUUUUUGGUUUCCCCUGAAAAGGGUAGCUGUUUUCGGUAUAGAUAUUCUUUGAACUUUAGAUUGGAGAUGAGAUGAUUUGGCGACCAUUACAGUUUGUAUACAAAGGAAGUGUGUACUCUUUUCCUACACUAAGCAUGUAUAAUACUUACAUCUGAUGCUAUUCUUCCAAAUUCUAUACACAUGAAUAUGUGAUUUCGCUGGCAGCUAAUUUGCUGAGGUUUUA